rnacentral:lncRNA from 1 species
UUUUUGCUGCACCUUCAGCAUAUGGAAGUUCAGGAGCCAGGGAUCCAAUCUGAGCUACAGCUGAGAUCUGUGCCACAAAUGCAGCAAUGCCGGAUCCUUAACCCAUUGCACCACAGCAGGAACUCCCUGUUGACCUUUAAAAUCACCAUGAUAUAUACCCUCCAACUACCACCUGGCAAAUUUGUGCUUUUUCUUGAAGCUCUACUUUUCAGCCAUUCUUUCAAGAAUCCACCACACCCCAUGCUUAAAGUUUGCUACUAAUUCCACAAUUCCCAGACAGGAAUAACUAGGAUCAUGUCUUUAUUUAUUCUUAAAAUCUCAGUGCCUGGCACAUAGUGAGUAUUCAAUAACAUUUGAGAAUUGAGUGAAAUAAACAUGUUAGCAUUUCUUCUUUCAUUGGCGUCAAAGCUAAACUCAGAAAUAAUGGUGACUAUAUCAAGAAAUAUUUUUCCCACAUAGUUCUCUUGUAAGCAAAGGGAAUUUUUCUCUUCUUAUUAUGACUAAAUUAGAAGACAGCAGGGCAAUGUGAAGAUAAUAGAGAGGAUAGCCUAGUAUCCAUAUCGACGAGCUUUUGAGCUUCACAGAGGAAGGCAUGCCAAGAGCUGGUUGAAUUACAUUUGUUAAAUACACUGUGAGGUUCUGUGCCCAAGCAGCACUGCCUUGGGGUCCCAGGAACAGUUAGAAGGUUCCUGAAACUUUGCCACCACCCUCCAAAGCACAUAGACACAUUCAGCCACAAGCCACAGAGCAACUUGGCCCAUGAAGGCUGAGAAUGAAUAGCCAUGAGCAGAGGUUGGCUGGGUCCCAGGGAAAAGUGUUUUCCUGGAGGGGACUCAUAGCAAAGGCAGCAGUGACAUGCAGUGACAAGGAGAUUGAGACACAAUAACAGAAGCAUACACAGUGCAAUAAGCUAGACACAAAAGGACCAGUAUUACAUGAUUCUACUUAUACAAGACACCUAGAGUUGUCAAAUUGCCUAGAGACAGAAUGUAGAAUCACGGUUGCUAGGAGCUGGGGGAAGGAUAAGGAGGAUAAACUGUUUAAUGGGUACAGUUUUAGUUUGGGAAGAUGAAAAAGUUCUGGAGGUGGAUGGUGGUGAUGGUUGCUCAACAAUGUGAAAGUACUUAAUGCCACUGGACUGUACACUUAAAAUUGGUUAAAAUGGUAACUGUUAUGUUAUGUAUGUUUUACCACAAUAAAAAAGCAAUAAAAGGCACACACAGAAAAGAACAGAAGCUUGCCUGCUUUCACACAUGAUCACAUAUAUAACAUCCAUGGGGCUCUCAGAAAUAACUAGAGUAGCCUUUAGAAGGGAGCUAAGGUUCUACAGUUGCUCACAUAGAAAGUAGGAUGCACCAAUCUUAAUAUGACACAACUUAAACCCAUAUGCUAAUGAGUCCUGGGAACAUUAAGAUUAUCUGAGCCAGAAUGAGAUAAGCAUUAUAUUAAAAAGUAUUUUUUUUUUUUUGGUCUUUUUGCCAUUUCUUGGGCCGCUCCCACGGCAUAUGGAGAUUCCCAAGCUAGAGGUCUAAUCUGAGCCAUAGCCACUGGCCUACGCCAGAGCCACAGCAACGUGGAUCCGAGCUGAGUCUGCAACCUAUACCACAGCUCACGGCAACGCUGGAUCCUUAACCCACUGAGCAAGGCGUUACCAAGCUGAUGGGAGGCACAUAAAAAAAACAUGCACAACUUUUUGGCUACCAGGCUUAUUUUCUGAGUAAUCUUUAUGACUAAGUUGAAAGAACUGAAAUGGUAAUAAAUGAAUUAUGUAUUAGUUGACACAAUUAUUCUUCUUGGAUUGACAUACAUUUCAAAAUCAGUGGAAUAAUAACUGUAACUUUCUAUCUGAUUCUGCCCCUGAGAAUAAGGAUUAGAGUAUCCAAUGUUAUUUUAUGAAACACAGAGUCCUAUGGAUCUAUAAAAAAAUCCGUAGAGCUGUUUUAAAAUUAUCCUUAUGCACUAGUGUAACAAAAUAUCAUACAUUACUACAGUCAAUGCUCUAGUUAAUUCAUAAAUUUAAGGCCUCACUUAAAUUUAGGUUUACAACCAUGAUAAAAGCAGCACAUUUGCCACCACUGAAUGUCUAUUAAUAGCUAAUCCUCAGAGCAUUUCUAUGGCCAAAUACAAUUAAAGAUGACGGAAGUAUGUGCUUACAUGCUUCCUUUCUUUUGUAUAUUCUAAAAACCUGCAGUGUACACUCCAGAGACACAUACAUAGGAUCCACACCCAAGCAAAACCUAUUGCCCUUUAUAAGAUCUGAUUCAUAGAAUAAAAAGACAAGUGAAGAAGGGAAAAAAUGCAAUACAUAAUCCAACAGGAGAAGUAGAUUAAUUAAAGCCUGUCAAAUUAGCCCAAGUAACUACCAAAACAGGACUCCUUAAUUGUCUUACUUAAUGAUGACAUCUGCAUUAUUAUGACUCCUAAGUGGUAUGUUUAACUGGCACUUCACUACUCUCACCGGUAAAUGGCAUAAGAACAUUUUAUGAUAAGACAGUUCACAUGUAAUUAGCCUUAAUAAGAAAAAAGAUAAACUAGAGAUCUGCUAUAUAAUACUGCACCCAUAGUCAGCAAUAACAUAUUGUACACUAAGCAUUUGUUAAGAUGAUAGAUAUGUUAAGCGAUCUCUUCAAACUAAGAGAAAAUAAAAUUGAUAUAAAUGUUGUAGAAUC